UACGUAGGUGGCAAGCGUUGUCCGGAUUUACUGGGCGUAAAGAGCGCGCAGGCGGUCGUUCAAGUCGCGUGUGAAAGCCCCCGGCUCAACUGGGGAGGGUCACGCGAUACUGAUCGACUCGAAGGCAGGAGAGGGAAGUGGAAUUCCCGGUGUAGUGGUGAAAUGCGUAGAUAUCGGGAGGAACACCAGUGGCGAAGGCGGCUAACUGGUCCGGUACUGACGCUGAGGUGCGAAAGCGUGGGGAGCAAACAGG
rnacentral:rRNA from 1 species